rnacentral:rRNA from 1 species
UUCGUAGGCGGUGCGGCAAGUCGGGAGUGAAAUCUCUGGGCUUAACCCAGAGGCUGCUUCCGAAACUGCCGUGCUAGAGUGCGGGAGAGGCGAGUGGAAUUGCAGGUGUAGCGGUGAAAUGCGUAGAUAUCUGCAGGAACACCCGUGGCGAAGGCGGCUCGCUGGACCGCAACUGACGCUGAGGAAGAAAGCUAGGGGAGCAAACA